GGUAGGGACCGGGGAUGCUGAUCAGUGUUGUACGAUACAUAGCACAGCCUCCCACAACAAAGAAUUAUCUGGCCCAAAAUGUCAACAGUGCCAGGAUUGAGAAACCCUAAUCUAGAAUAACUAGUCCCUUUAGCUGGCUAGAAGCAGGUGUUGAUUGAAGAACAGGGCCUCAGUGAAGGGCAUGAGUCCGAGUUCUCACAGAACCGUCCACCGCAGCUGUUGUUGAGAGAGAGCUAAGCCAAGGGGAUGUGACAUACAGAACCAAAGCAUCUGCUACUACUUGCCAGAUAGGUCAGUGUUAAGAAGAAUAAAAUGGGAAAAGAGAUAGAAAGGGCCAGAUCAGCCACUAUUAACUAGGGUGGCCAGGAAAUGUCCCAGUGAGAUAUGCAAGACCUUAGGGAAGCUAGAGUCCCAGCUAGUGAGUCGUAGAUGCUCAGCCUCCAAACCAUGCCUUGCGUACUUGGCUUUGCCAUUCUGCAAACCAAAUGUCUGCUUUGUUGGCUGGCUUCUUGUGCAGCUCCAUGAACACAGGGUGUCACAGGGGAGUGGAAGCUGGAGGAAGGAAAGGGGCUCGCUCCUGUGAGCUUUCUGUCUGCUGUGGUUCCUAUAUACGUCAUUCCUGGAAUGCUUCUUUACCCCUCAGAGGCAGUGCUUUUCCGGAGCAGCAGCUGAGUCCAGGGACUUCUGCUUGCUGCUGCCAAGUGAAAAAUCAUGUAUUUACUUCCCGUUCCGCCGUGAUUGUAAGUUUCCUGAGGCCUCCCCAGCCCUGCAGAACUGGACAGCUCAGAACUCCCAUGUUUCCUCAAAAGGUUC
rnacentral:lncRNA from 1 species